rnacentral:rRNA from 1 species
GGAUCAUUACCGAGUUUACAACUCCCAAACCCAAUGUGAACGUUACCAAACUGUUGCCUCGGCGGGAUCUCUGCCCCGGGUGCGUCGCAGCCCCGGACCAAGGCGCCCGCCGGAGGACCAACCAAAACUCUUUUUGUAUACCCCCUCGCGGGUUUUUUAUAAUCUGAGCCUUCUCGGCGCCUCUCGUAGGCGUUUCGAAAAUGAAUCAAAACUUUCAACAACGGAUCUCUUGGUUCUGGCAUCGAUGAAGAACGCAGCGAAAUGCGAUAAGUAAUGUGAAUUGCAGAAUUCAGUGAAUCAUCGAAUCUUUGAACGCACAUUGCGCCCGCCAGUAUUCUGGCGGGCAUGCCUGUCCGAGCGUCAUUUCAACCCUCGAACCCCUCCGGGGGGUCGGCGUUGGGGAUCGGCCCUGCCCUUGGCGGUGGCCGUCUCCGAAAUACAGUGGCGGUCUCGCCGCAGCCUCUCCUGCGCAGUAGUUUGCACACUCGCAUCGGGAGCGCGGCGCGUCCACAGCCGUUAAACACCCAACUUCUGAAAUGU